AGGGCUGUAGCUCAAUUGGUAGAGCACCGGUCUCCAAAACCGGGGGUCGGGGGUUCGAGUCCCUCCAGCCCUGCCA
rnacentral:tRNA from 2 species